rnacentral:lncRNA from 1 species
UGUUGAUAUGCUGUUUCUAUAAUAACAUCAUACUGCAGGAGGGAGAGAGAGGCAGUGUGUUGAUAUGCUGUUUGUAUAAUAACAACACACUGCAGGAGGAGAGAGAGAGGCAGUGUGUUGAUAUGCUGUUUGUAUAAUAACAACAUACUACAGGAGGAGAGAGAGGCAGUGUGUUGAUAUGCUGUUUGUAUAAUAACAUCAUACUGCAGGAGGAGAGAGAGGCAGUGUGUUGAUAUGCUGUUUGUAUAAUAACAACAUACUGCAGGAGGAGAGAGAGGCAGUGUGUUGAUAUGCUGUUUGUAUAAUAACAACAUACUGCAGGAGAGAGAGAGGCAGUGUGUUGAUAUGCUGUUUGUAUAAUAACAACAUACUGCAGGAGGAGAGAG